rnacentral:pre_miRNA from 1 species
UGUUAAGAUUUUCACUAUUUCAACUGUUAAAAAUUGACAUGCCUGACGAAAUAAUUAGAUAGUUACAUGUGGCUUGCCACUUGUACCUCAUACUAACAUACAAAGACUAAUUUUAACAAAAUAAAUAGAUAAAUUUUUUAACA